rnacentral:lncRNA from 1 species
GCCAGUGGAAACAACACGAUGAAACGAUGAGAUGUAUUAAAUGUUUCCUCUAGAACUGGAACUAAGGUUAUCCUUAUGUUGUUCUUAACCAAUGAUAGCAGUCUGCCUCUAACAGGCUGCCUGUGUGCAAGUUGCUACUGCACGAUAGAUAGACUCAAUCACCUUCUUUUUGGCUGCGUUGACCUGGCAGGCAUGACUGGAAAGCCGAUGUCAUUGAUUUCUAGCGUCUCCAACACUUCCUGUCCAGUUCCUCUUCGUGCACCUCCACCUGGAUGCCUCGCCACUGCUCAGCUCUCUGUUUUCUCCCCUUCCACAACUCCAAAUAUGAACACCAGCCACAUCUGUCUACCACUCUCUUAGAAGAGAAGAUAAUCGAUUUCUCCACUGCAGGCUAAUGACCAAUAGACUACUCCUGAAGUAAACAGAAUCUUCUCUCACUUGAUUUCUUUUGAUGGCUGAGACUGCAACCUAUUCCAUCACGUGCUUCCUUCCCUGAGUCUCUGUACCUUACUCUUGUCCUGCUUCAAAACAAACCAGCUUUUAUCUCCUUGCCUCUAAGUCAGUCCCACUCACUCUUUGUUCUCCAAAGGCCCUCAGCUACGGUCCAUUUCUGUCACAUCUAAUGUACAUGCGUGUACCUUGAGGGCAGUAGAAAGCCAUAAACCACAAAUUAGAAGAACUGUGUGGUCCCUGCUCUGUCUCUGAACAGGUAAUAAUGUCUGGUGAUGUCACUUAGCAUGUGUGAACUUCAAUUUGUUCUUAUGAGAAAAAGAAAAGCUAUUUCAUUUGUUUUAUUCUAUUUACAUAUGCAAUCUAUUCAUUUGUUUAAAGAUUAUCUAUAGAUUUAAUAAAAAUAAUUAUUUUAUUUGUUUAAAUAAAAUAUUGUUUAUUUAAAGAUAUUUUUAAAAAACUUUUUCAGCUCUCAUGCUAGAAUUCUAGAGACAGUUUCUGGUCUUUAAUGAUAAUCUGAAAUACAAUCAAAUCUCCUCUGUGGUAUAUCUGAAAAAAUGUUUUUCUAACUUAUAAAAUGUCAUUGAAAUGUGUUAUCUCAUUUGAGGAACACUACUGAAUAACACGAAGUCUCAGACGGCAGGUGAACAUGUUGCAGUAGAAGAUGGUGCAUCCUCUCUGUCUUCAGCCAUUUGCUCUUCCUUAUUCCCUCCCCCUCCGUGGCUCUCUCUGCUCCCCAUCUCCUGGCCCUUCUCCCACCCUUCCCUCAUGCUUCUAUUUCUUUCUAUCUCUCCUUCCUUAUCUCUCUCCACUUUAAAACUUCAGAGAUGGCACGGGGAAUGCAUCACAGCUGACUCUCAGAAAGCUAGUAAAACUGCUAAGCUGUAUUUGAAGUCGGAUCUGUGUUAAGCUUGCACACAAGUACACGUGUACACAAGUACUGACUUAGUCUGUUUUCACGCACUCAGAAACAGGUUGAAAAGUUACUCUCAGCCCUACCUGGCUCCCAUCAGGCCCAUGUGAGCACACACUAGUUGUGUGAGAUUGCUGCAGACGGAUAAACUGACUCAGUGGUCUCUGCAGAAGUAGAGACCCUAGACCGGUAACUGAGCAGUUACUCUCUUCCUCACAAAGUCCACCGGGCUGCGGUGCUCUGAAUGAGAAUGGGCCCAGUCUCCUAUGUUUAAAUGCUUGGUUCCCAGUUAGUGGAACUGUUUGGGGAUGGGUAGUAAGUAUAGCCUUGUAAGGACAUGUGUGACCUUGUUGAAGAAGGUGUAUCAAUAAUGGGUUUUGAGAUUUCAAAAGCCCACACCACCACCCAGUCUCUCUAUCUUUCUUCCUCCUGCCUGGAGAUCAGCAUGAAAGCUCUCAGCUACUGCUCUGGCCCCAGGCCUGCCCACCGCACUCCCUGCCAUGACUGUCAUGGGCUAAGGCUCUGAAACUAUAAACAAGCCACCAACUAAACAAGUUCUUCUAAAAGUUGCUUUGGUCAUGGUGUUUCUUCAUAGAAAUGGAGCAGUGACUAAGACACGGAUGUUGAAGCUCCUCUCAAAACACUCAGUGCUUAGAGAUUUGGCUCCAGAGAGUUCUUGCUCUGGAAGAAAGAAAGCUUCUUAAUAGACUGGAUUCCACAUAUGUGUACAGAGGCAUCUAGGAACAGAGAUCAUUAAAGCCAAAAGUUUGUGAACUUGCGGCUCUUGGUGCUGACUACAUCGUUUCCUGGAACAAAAAUCAAAAAGCCUGGUUUUAUAAAGAAAGCGGGGAGAUGAACUCUCUACUGCAGAAAAUGAAAAGCCGAGGACUCAGGACCAUCACUAAGAAAAUAUGACUAAAACAAGAGCAGAGGUUCCUGAGCAGGAAGUUCUGUGAGGUUCUGCGGCCUCGGGCACUCCAGGAACUAUGGCUUACUGUGUAGUAACAGUCAGUCCAAGAAGUGCACCACAUACAACCAGUGUGAGUUUCCUGGCCUCAGUGUCCCCAUACCUAGCAAGGGUUGGUCAAGGCAGAAGGAAGGGCGAGCUUCCACAAUGAGCCUGGAGCUGAUUGUAUCUUUAGCCCAUUUUGAGAUUGUAAGUUUGGAAGCCAGAGAUCUACUUACAAACACCACAGUACUUUGCACUCAGAAAUGGCAUCAAGAAACCCUUUACAAAGAUGUGAAUCUCUUACAGAGGUAAACCAUGGGUUUCUUAAGAACAUGCAUCUGCCAAGAAGCACAAGAAAAAAGACCUUCAAAGGUUCUACAAUGUAGAGACACAGAGGACAAGGUCAUGAGGGCCCUUUAAAGCCGUAGAGGUUAAGCCCAAGAUGCCAACGUGUCCCAACAGCAAGCUACAUGGAUUUGCUCUCAUCACCCACCCCAAACAUGGAAGAAGCUUUCAUCACCACACGGCCAAGGGUCACAGGCUCUGUCAACUAAGGGCUAAGGACCUGGCAAAGGCUAAGGCUGUAGGACCUGCUUAGAGUCUAGCUUCAGUUCCUGCUGCUGCUCUAAAUCCAGUUCAGGCUCACAGCCUCGUGAUAGCCCCAUAGCAAAGGCUUCUAUCUGCCUUACUCCUCCACACUGAUUGCAAAUGUGGCUGUUUUUAUAUUAAAAAAAAGCAAGUUCCGUUCCUAAUCAGGAGGCCUUAGAGAACUAAUAGACUAAUUACUAAUUAAAUUUGCAGAGAAUUAGUGGCACU